CGAAUGCUGACGUGAGUAACGACAAAACGGGUGAAAAACCCGUUCGCCGAAAGACCAAGGGUUCCAGUCCAACGUUAAUCGGGGCUGGGUGAGUCGACCCCUAAGGCGAGGCCGAAAGGCGUAGUCGAUGGGAAAAUGGUUAAUAUUCCAUUACUUCUGUGUAAUGCGAUGAGAGGACGGAGAAGGCUAAAUCAGCCUGGCGUUGGUUGUCCAGGUGAAAGGAUGUAGGCAUGUAUCUUAGGCAAAUCCGGGGUACUCUAUGCUGAGAUCUGAUAGCAAGCUGUACUUGUACAGCGAAGUGGUUGAUGCCAUGCUUCCAGGAAAAGUCUCUAAGCUUCAGUUACACAGGAAUCGUACCCGAAACCGACACAGGUGGUCAGGUCGAGUAGACCAAGGCGCUUGAGAGAACUCUGCUGAAGGAACUAGGCAAAAUGGUACCGUAACUUCGGGAGAAGGUACGCUGUUGUUGGUGAUGGAACUCGCUUCCUGAGCUGACGACAGCCGCAGAAACCAGGCCGCUGCAACUGUUUAUUAAAAACAUAGCACUCUGCAAACACGAAAGUGGACGUAUAGGGUGUGAUGCCUGCCCGGUGCUGGAAGGUUAAUUGAUGGGGUUAGCGUAAGCGAAGCUCUUGAUCGAAGCCCCAGUAAACGGCGGCCGUAACUAUAACGGUCCUAAGGUAGCGAAAUUCCUUGUCGGGUAAGUUCCGACCUGCACGAAUGGCAUAAUGAUGGCGGCGCUGUCUCCAGCAGAGGCUCAGUGAAAUCGAAAUCGCUGUGAAGAUGCAGUGUACCCGCGGCUAGACGGAAAGACCCCGUGAACCUUUACUGCAGCUUGACACUGAACUUUGACCUUACUUGUGUAGGAUAGGUGGGAGGCUUUGAAGCUGGAACGCUAGUUCCAGUGGAGCCGUCCUUGAAAUACCACCCUGGUAAUGUUGAGGUUCUAACUCUGUCCCGUGAUCCGGGACGAGGACCGUGUCUGGUGGGUAGUUUGACUGGGGCGGUCUCCUCCUAAAGAGUAACGGAGGAGUACGAAGGUGCGCUCAGCGUGGUCGGAAAUCACGCGUAGAGUAUAAAGGCAAAAGCGCGCUUAACUGCGAGACCCACAAGUCGAGCAGGUACGAAAGUAGGUCUUAGUGAUCCGGUGGUUCUGUAUGGAAGGGCCAUCGCUCAACGGAUAAAAGGUACUCUGGGGAUAACAGGCUGAUACCGCCCAAGAGUUCAUAUCGACGGCGGUGUUUGGCACCUCGAUGUCGGCUCAUCUCAUCCUGGGGCUGAAGCAGGUCCCAAGGGUAUGGCUGUUCGCCAUUUAAAGAGGUACGCGAGCUGGGUUUAGAACGUCGUGAGACAGUUCGGUCCCUAUCUACCGUGGGCGCUGGAAAUUUGAGAGG
rnacentral:rRNA from 1 species